rnacentral:misc_RNA from 1 species
AACGCACCUUGCACCCUUUGGUAUUCCGAAGGGUACACCCGUUUGAGUGUCAUUGUAAUCUCACUAUGAUCGACUUUUUGUCUUUCCGUAUGUGGACUUGGAUGCUGUCGUGAUAUUCACGACUCGUCUGAAAUGCCUGAGUGUACCCCGCUUUGCGGCGUAUUCGGUGUGAUACAUCUUCACCGGAGUUGAUCCUUUUGGGUCGCGUCUGUAAUGGUGUGGCUCUAUGCUUCGAACCGUCUCCAGGAGACAACCUCUGACAAUUUGACCUCAAAUCGGGUGGGACUACCCGCUGAACUUAA